CCUACGGGAGGCAGCAGUAGGGAAUCUUUCACAAUGGGCGAAAGCCUGAUGGAGCAACGCCGCGUGCAGGAUGAAGGCCUUCGGGUUGUAAACUGCUUUUAUAAGCGAGAAAUAUGAUGGUAACUUAUGAAUAAGGAUCGGCUAACCACGUGCCAGCAGCGGUGGUCAUACGUAGGAUCCGAGCAUUAUCCGGAGUGACUGGGGGUAAAGAGUUGCGUAGGUGGGAUAAUAAGUAGCUAGUGAAAUCUGGUGGCUUAACCAUUCAAACUAUUAGCUAAACUGUUAAGCUCGAGACCGUUAGGGGUAACUGGAAUUUCUGGUGUAGGAGUGAAAUGCGUAGAUAUUAGAAAGAACACCGAUAGCGAAGGCAGGUUACUGGGACGGUUCUGACACUAAGGCACGAAAGCGUAGGGAGCAAACGGGAUUAGAUACCCCAGUAGUC
rnacentral:rRNA from 1 species